GAAUUAAAAAAAAAAAAAAAAAAAAAAAAAUUACCCUUCAGGGAAGUUGUCAGGCUUAAUGGAUGUUUAUAAAUCACUCGAACAAAAGGUGCUAUGUCAGUGAAAAGUGCUCAUCCCGAUGAUUAUUCAAAUGCUCAUUAAAAUGCGUUUUGCUCUAUCCUUUCCCUUGGUUUGUGUGGGAGGCAAUUGAAAGAUUUAGUCUUUGUGGGAAAGAGGGAGAGCUCGAGCACUUUCCUUUGGGUGUGGGAGCGGCAGGUUUGGGGAGUUAAGGACCUUUGGCAUGCAGGUAGGGUUUCAUCCAAGACCUUUAGGCUCCCAUCCAGGCUGCAAGCUCUGACAGACCCAGGACUGGCAAGUUCCCUCCAGGAAGACAAGCCAGCGAUUAAUGGUACCAACCCCUGCUCAAAUUUGCAUGUAUCAUUUCCUUUAGCUCUGCUCCUGAUGGAAUUAGGGAUCAUCCUUUAGUGAAAAUUAUUCUUAAUGUGUAUUUAAGCAUUAAAAAUGAAUAUGCGUGUGUGAUAAAACUUAGGGAAUAAUUUAUAAACAGCUAACGCAACGUGAGAUUAUGGAAGAGCUGGCUGCCCUGCAAACCUGUGCAAAUGCAUGUAUAAUGCCAGGAUGCUUCUUCCCUCAUGGAUGUUUCAUUAUGUCUUGCUGACCCCUUCAUGGCAGCUUGGUCUGCUGGGGGCUGCUGGCUAUUCCAGGUUUUAAAAGCUGAAGAAGCCACACUAUAUCUCCUCAGUGCAUCAGACACUAAGCUGGAAACCUAGACAUGGUAUUUUUCACCCUCUUCAGUCCCAUGAAGCUGCAUGUGCAACUGCACCCCCUCCAAGAGCAUCCAUGAUGAAUGGGAACUUCUUCUUCUGCUAAUUGAAAUAGAAGAAUUUCUGUAUUAGCUCUGAAAAUGAAAAAUAUGGAUUCUCUGGGGAGGAGUUUCUAUCCAAAAUGCAAAGAAUUUUAUGCUUCUUGGGCAAAAUGCAGCUGCAAGUAAUAGUUGAUGCUGUUUUUAAUCAAAGUGCACUAACUUGCUCUUAUCAUCCUGUUUAGAGGAUGGGAGGUGCUUUUGCAGGGCACGACGAGUGCUCCCAUGUGCAGCUCUCUCCACUCGCCCUUGCAGCUCUCACAUAAAGCAUCAGUAGUGACCCCUCCACUGCCAUCUUGACUUCUUCUUUUUUCCCCUCCCUUGGGGGUUACUUUUUCAGUCUUGUCCCUCCUUUAUGCCAGGCAAACCCUCGUUGCCACUGCAGGCAGCUGCUGGGAUGAACUCAGCCUCCUCUGGUGUGUUGCACAACCACGUGAGCUGGCAAUUCUUGCACCUCCUCUGCAGAGGCUGGAGCAGCCCGGGCAAAGUGAACCAGGGGUUUUGAAGUGCCUUCAAGGCUUGGCCCCCUCUCAUCCAGGACUUGGAUGUGAUGCACACCAAGGAACUGGAAUAGGGGGCAGACUGUGUCCACUGGAGCUUUCCUGCCCUGCUCUUCUUCUUUCUCAUUUGUCUUCAUCCACAGCCCAAUGUGGUGUGCUCUGACUCUGCCACGUCCCAGAAGAUGGAAGGAGAUGCUUUGCUCAAGUGUUGCCUGGCUCAUUCUUCUUUAAUAAAGAGAUUGUUUCGUU